CUGGCCCUCAUACUCUUUGCCAGUUUUCACAGCUAGAGCCUCUUAACUCACACAGGUACCUAACACCCCCAUGCAGGUAGGAAGGAAUACAGGCCUCUCAGAAGUUCCGAGCAGCCUAACUUUAUGGCGGGUUUUAUGUGGGUAACAGAACUGAGCCUUUGCUCUGUUUUCCAGCUCCCUCACUUCAUCCCUUCCUGGAGUCCUUGCUGGACAUGCUGGUUUCUCUGGAACUAGGACAUUCGAUUCCCUUGCUCAGUGCUUUCCGGAGGCUGAAGAUGAGCAGAGUCCUUAACCCCAGGCUCCUUCUUUCUCAUGCUCUGACACUUCUGGCUUGGUGUUUUUCAUCUAUGAAGGUUUACAUUUCAAAUGAGGUGUGGAACAACUUGACUGGAAGGUUCUAAUGCCACCUACAUGCAUGAUGUAGAUCCAAGUAAGUCAACUAUAUUUUUUCCUCUUUAAACCUGUGUUGGGAGGUCUAUGGGCUUGCUCUGCAGAAUAUUCUAGGACCAGUGGCUUUCAGCAUGUUGGGGGAGCUAGUUAGAAGUGCAGAGCCUCUGGCCCCACUUCAGAUGGACUGAGUUAGAGUCCACAUUGUAACAUGAGACCAUCUGACUGUCCAGUCCACUGGACACUGUACAUUGUGUAAUGUACAACGCACGUUGUAAAGAACUGAUGUGUGAAGUCACGACUCUGGGAUGAACUGCUGCUUCUUGAGAUGCUCCACCUUCUGAAUCACUACUUUUCCCAACUCCUUUAUUGCCGAUGAUGUAAAUGUUAGUGAGUUGGGUGCAUUUCCCUCUGACAGUGUGAACUCUGACCAACCACCCAGGAUGCUGCAGGACACAGCGUCUCUCUGUGAACAUUUCACAUUGGUUAUUUCUUGGGAAAACUCUUGCGUGAGGCCUUUUCAACUGUGUUAACACAUCACAGGAACAUUUCAUUUUGCUUUUGGUCAUGAUCUGAUAUGGGCUUGGAUGAUAGGCAGCCUGAGGGUGCAGGUUGGAUGAGAACCACUCAAGUUCAGCCAUCAGUUUGAGGCACUCAGUGCACUGCUGGCUGACAGGAGGUGACUCCAAACAACUCUCUCAGCAUUUAUGAUGGAGAAGGAGCUGCAGGUGCUUCAGGCUGGGUGAGCUGACUCCACCCCAGAGCGUCUGAGAUGGGUGGCCAGUAGUGCUGCUCUGGACAGUGACCAGUGAGUGGUCUUGCUGCCAGAAACUGUCCCUGAAGGGGCAGGUCUGGGCCAAUGACUGAUUCCAUAGGUCAGGUCCAACCACUGCAGAGAGGGGGCCAAUAAGACACACAGAGUGUCGGAGCCUCAGACUGUCUACACCCAGGAUAGGGCUACAGCCCCCAAAGGAGGAGACAGCUCCAUUGACCUGGCACCCAGUUGGACAGGUCCUUUUUAAUAAAUGGUGCCAUAAAAAGAACA
rnacentral:lncRNA from 1 species